rnacentral:rRNA from 1 species
GAUGAACGCUAGCGGGAGGCCUAACACAUGCAAGCCGAGGGGUAGAGUGGGGUCGGCUUCCUGAGAGCGGCGGCGGGGGGCGUAACAGGGGUGCAAGCUUACCCAAUCUGGGGGACAGCACGGCGUAAGGCGGAGAAAUACGCACUAAUAUAAUGAGUGGCAUCAAGAAUUAAUGAGAACUCGGGGGGAUGGAGAGGGGGACGCGUAAGAUUAGCUGGUUGGUGGGGUAACGGCGCACCAAGGCGAUGAUCUGUAGGGGUCCUGAGAGGGAGGUCCCCCACACUGGUACUGAGACACGGACCAGACUCCUACGGGAGGCAGCAGUGAGGAAUAUUGGUCAAUGGGCGUGAGCCUGAUCCAGCCAUGCCGCGUGAAGGAUGACGGUCCUAUGGGUGGUAAACUUCUUUUAGACGGGGAUAAACCGACCCUCGUGUGGGUUUUUGAAGGUACCGUAUGAAUAAGCACCGGCUAACUCCGUG